AUGGCCUGGACGCCUCUGCUCCUCGCGCUCCUCUCUCACUGCACAGGGUCCCUCUCCCAGCCUGUGCUGACUCAGCCGCCCUCCCUCUCUGCAUCUCCGGGAGCCACAGCCAGACUCACCUGCACCCUAAGAAGUGACAUCAAUGUUGGUGGAUACAGGAUAAACUGGCACCAGCAGAAGCCUGGGAGCCCUCUCCGGUACCUCCUGAACUACCACACUGACUCAGAUAAGGGCCAAGGCUCCGGGGUCCCCAGCCGCUUCUCUGGAUCCAAAGACGCCUCGGCCAAUGCGGGGCUCCUGCUCAUCUCGGGGCUGCAGCCUGAGGACGAGGCCGACUAUUACUGUGCGAUCUGGCACAAUAAUGCUCCCACAGGUGUGGGUGGCUGUGGGCCAUGGGGAGCAGAAGCUGUUGAUGAGCCCAGAUCUCAGGUCACCUUCUCCUGA